CCUGGAUCGCGAUCAAUGCUUGAUCUCUUUUCUUAAUUUUUUUCUUCUCCUCUUCUCUAAAGUUUUUCUUUACUAUGUGCUACUACCAGAUACUAGAAACCAGCAAGGGAUCUGCACCCAAGAGUUUUGAGUGUAGAACUCCUUGGGAUGCAUGUCCCAAGGAAGAGGUGUGUAAAACACCCAAGAGAAAAAAAAGGGAGGGGA
rnacentral:lncRNA from 1 species